UUACGUCCAUACCACGUUGAAACAUUGUUUCCCGUACGAUCAACGAAGUUAAGCAACAUCGCACCUAGUCAGUACCUAGAUGGGUGACCACGUGGAUGAUGAGUGGCCAGGUGCUGU